UAGAGAUAGGCGUUCCCUUGUUGGCCUGUGAUGCAGGUGGUGCAUGGCUGUCGUCAGCUCGUGUCGUGAGAUGUUGGGUUAAGUCCCGCAACGAGCGCAACCCUUAUCUUAUGUUGCCAGCGGGUAAUGCCGGGGACUCGUGAGAGACUGCCGGGGUCAACUCGGAGGAAGGUGGGGAUGACGUCAAGUCAUCAUGCCCCUUAUGUCCAGGGCUUCACACAUGCUACAAUGGCCGGUACAAAGGGCUGCGAUGCCGCAAGGUUAAGCGAAUCCUUUUAAAGCCGGUCUCAGUUCGGAUUGGGGUCUGCAACUCGACCCCAUGAAGUCGGAGUCGCUAGUAAUCGCAGAUCAGCAACGCUGCGGUGAAUACGUUCCCGGGCCUUGUACACACCG
rnacentral:rRNA from 1 species